rnacentral:rRNA from 1 species
GACGUAGGGCGCGAGCGUUGUCCGGAUUUAUUGGGCGUAAAAGAGCUCGUAGGCGGCUUGUCGCGUCGAAUGUGAAAACUCGGGGCUCAACUCCGAGCUUGCAUUCGAUACGGGCAGGCUAGAGUUCGGUAGGGGAGACUGGAAUUCCUGGUGUAGCGGUGAAAUGCGCAGAUAUCAGGAGGAACACCGGUGGCGAAGGCGGGUCUCUGGGCCGAUACUGACGCUGAGGAGCGAAAGCGUGGGGAGCGAACAGG